GUUGAAAAUCAAAGUCUUCACAAAGACUAAGAAUAGUGUAUGAAUAGAAGACUUUGAGUGUGGCCAAAUUAAUGGAGAGAGGGAAAGAAAGUCAAGAGGUUCACACACAUUGCAUCCUCUAUAAAUAUGAGGUGUUCCUCAUCAGAUGUAAGCAAUGAAGAUAGAAGUGAAUGAAAAUGAAAAGCUCCCUCUUUCUCCAUCCCUCUGUGCAUUUGUUCUUGUGUUUGUGAGUGUGUUUGUGAGGAAUCCGAGUACUCGAUUUCUAACAGGUGGAUGCCUCCC
rnacentral:lncRNA from 1 species